rnacentral:rRNA from 1 species
UACAUGUGGGGCAAGCGUUGUUCGGAAUUACUGGGCAUAAAGGGUGCGUAGGCGGCUUGUUAAGUCAGGGGUGAAAGUUUUCGGCCCAACCGGAAAAUUGCCUUUGAUACUGGCGAGCUUGAGUGCGUGAGGGGUAACCGGAACGAGUGGUGUAGCGGUGAAAUGCGUAGAUAUCACUCGGAAGGCCAAAGGCGAAGGCAGGUUACUGGUACGCAACUGACGCUGAGGCACGAAAGCGUGGGGAGCGAACAGG